AGCUAUUGGGCUACUUUUAAAACACGUUGCCUUUUCUCUCCAAAGCAGCCAGUAUCGCUCUUUUCAAACUAACUGUGUUUUAAUCACACUCAUUUUGUGAUUCUGAUGUCACAGCAUGCAGCGAUGCAACCAUUUUAUUUAUUUAAAAACAGAUCAUUUUCUUCCGUAAGGAGUUUCAUGGUUUCACAGUAGUUUUUAACACAACAGAUGGUCGCAUCGGUUCCUUUCUUUUUGGAAACACCCAUCCUAUAUAAGACACACUCAGAGCCUGAAACCCUUAGCCAUUUACCCGUCAAGAUUCGCUGCGGAGCACACCAUUUUCUUUGAGAUCAUCAAAACUAACAUCGUUCUUUAUAACAUGGACAUCGUAAACGGUAAGUAAAACAAAACCUAUUAUUGUGUUUUUAAAGGUGUUAUAUUAUAGGAUAUUCAAACAAUUUUUUUUCCUAAAACAAAAGCUUAAUUUUUAGGAGUUCGGGAGAACGGCGCAGGACCCGUUUCUUUAGAAACGGGCGCAUUUACAGCUGGAACGAGUUCUCUAACAAGCACAAGGGUUAACAAACUGAGUAGGAAAACAUUCAGACACAGAGACCACAGAGCCCAACCUUACAACAGAGCCACGCCAGAGAACCGUGUGUGUGGAGAAGCAGGACCGUCCGGAAUAACGCACACUACAAGACUGCAGAACAGUACCCCCCCUCAUAAUGAUCAGGACACCGUACGAUCCCUGACGUUUUUGGAACGUUUAAGCAGUAUCGACCUCCCAGAACAACAAAAACCUGGAGCUUUGUACAACAGCGGAGAGUCAGAACCG